rnacentral:rRNA from 1 species
CAGCCGCCACGGUAAUACGGAGGAUCCAAGCGUUAUCCGGAAUCAUUGGGUUUAAAGGGUCCGUAGGCGGUCUUGUAAGUCAGUGGUGAAAGCCCAUCGCUCAACGGUGGAACGGCCAUUGAUACUGCAGGACUUGAAUUAUUGGAAAGUAACUAGAAUAUGUAGUGUAGCGGUGAAAUGCUUAGAGAUUACAUGGAAUACCAAUUGCGAAGGCAGGUUACUACCAAUUGAUUGACGCUGAUGGACGAAAGCGUGGGUAGCGAACAGGAUUAGAUACCCCCGUAGUCCCUGUCUCUUAUAC